AGAGACUUAGGAUAGAAAGACCAAGGGCCUUCAAAGCCCUAAGCAGGAGUUAAAGCCUCCUAGUUUCUG
rnacentral:tRNA from 2 species